UUAAAAUGUGAAGGUCUCCUUUAUAUAGUAGGGGAUCUUCCUUGAAGUAAUCAAAGAAAAAGUACAAAAGUAGGUGGCUUCUUCUUAACGAAGAAGUUAGGUUCUAAAUGACAUCGCCUUCAUCCCCACGCCCGGGUCGUGCCCUCAAUCUAGUUGGCGCCUACUCAUUGGGCGUACCCCUUGGCAUGGGGACGUUGAUGGCCAAAUUUGACCUUAUACAAUUAAUCCCUCCGUUCGUUAGAGACAUGCCCGAUGGUCGUCUUCAAUGGACGGAACGGCAAGCCUCGUCUUAAGGGAGUUUGGCCGCAUCCUUGGGCGUUAGCUCGAAUGAGACAAGUGCAUGACACGGUUGAGCCGUUGACAUAUGGCCUCUUCUCUGAAUGACGUCACUGGUCGCAUGCGCCAUC
rnacentral:lncRNA from 1 species